GAUUAACGCUGGCGGCAUGCCUAAUACAUGCAAGUCGAACGGAAGCAGCAAUGCUUUAGUGGCGAACGGGUGAGUAACACGUAGGGAACCUACCUAUACGACGAGGAUAACUACUGGAAACGGUAGCUAAAACUGGAUAGGAUCAAUUGAGGCAUCUUGAUUGAUUUAAAGAUCCUUCGGGAUUACGUAGAGAUGGCCUCGCGUCUGAUUAGCUAGUUGGUGGGGUAACGGCCCACCAAGGCGACGAUCAGUAGCCGGACUGAGAGGUUGACCGGCCACAUUGGGACUGAGAUACGGCCCAGACUCCUACGGGAGGCAGCAGUGGGGAAUAUUGGGCAAUGGGCGAAAGCCUGACCCAGCAACGCCGCGUGAAGGAAGAAGGCCCUCGGGUUGUAAACUUCUUUUAUUCGGGACGAAACAAAUGACGGUACCGAAUGAAUAAGCCACGGCUAACUACGUG
rnacentral:rRNA from 1 species